UUGGGAGUGACAGUUCUAACAGUUCUUUGAAGUGUUUCUCCCUAUGGAGUCAAAAAGAAUAUGUAUUUUGUCUUUGAUCUAUGAGGUUUCUGUGAGAUUAAUUAUGGAAAGGAGAGAGUGAAAGAAGGUAAGGAGAAGCUUCUUUCUUAUGAGGACUAUCUUAUGUUAUGAAGAAGUAUGAUACUGUAUAAGGAAUUGGACAUUUGCUGUGUAUUCCACAAAGACUAUUUUGUGUGAUGGCUGAAGUCAAAAGCAAGAAAGGGUGAAAGAGAGAGAGAGAGAGAGAGAGAGUAGAGAGAAGAGAGAAGCAUUACUUAUUCCUGAAGAGACUGAAUUUAAUUACCUUGAGAAAAAAUAUGAAUCGAAUUCUUGAAAACUUUAAUCAGUAUUUGGAGUGAACUGAAUGGGAAAGUUCCUGAGCAUAAUCCCAAUGUUGCUCUAUUGUCAUCAAUACUAAGGAAGAAGGAGUUAGAAAAUAAAGUUAAUGAACAAAAUUCCAGAAGACCUGUCUACUACUGCUGGAAGUCACCUCUUAAGGUAAAGGCAUAUGCUCCUGACUAAGUUACUGCUGUCAACUAUGGUGAAAAAAGGUCAACUUCUAAAAUAAUUCCUUGUGGAGAAUUUCUUUUGUAUUUGAAGGACUGUUGUGAAGAAAAUUCUUUAAAAUUAAUGAAAUAAAUACAAGAAAAUAUGAGAUGUUUUUAUGAUUCCACAUAAAACCUAACACUAAUGAUUCAUUGUGGAAAGGAGGCCAUGCAACUUACAUAUGAGAAUGGAAGAGACUUAAGAGUUGGAAAACUAGAGAAUUCCAAACUCUUGACUAAGCUGUUUGGUAUCAUUGGGCAAAUAAUCAUUGACUAGUUUAUGAUAUAGUCUUCUGAGAUCCAUAUCAAAAGGCAAAUAGAAUGCUUAUCAAUUAGCUAAACUGGUGCUGCCUAUGGAGACCUUAAACCCAGUGAUGAAAAAAGUUUAGCAUUAAAAAGAAGUAAUUAAAAAAAUUUAAA